GGAGAGGUAACGGCUCACCAAGGCAUCGACGGGUAGCUGGUCUGAGAGGAUGAUCAGCCACACUGGAACUGAGACACGGUCCAGACUCCUACGGGAGGCAGCAGUGGGGAAUCUUGCACAAUGGGCGAAAGCCUGAUGCAGCGAUGCCGCGUGCGGGAAGAAGGCCCUAGGGUUGUAAACCGCUUUCAGGAGGGAAGAAAAUGACGGUACCUCCAGAAGAAGGUGCGGCCAACUACGUGCCAGCAGCCGCGGUAAUACGUAGGGUGCGAGCGUUAUCCGGAAUUAUUGGGCGUAAAGAGCUCGUAGGCGGUUUGUCGCGUCUGUCGUGAAAGUCCGGGGCUUAACCCCGGAUCUGCGGUGGGUACGGGCAGACUAGAGUGCAGUAGGGGAGACUGGAACUCCUGGUGUAGCGGUGGAAUGCGCAGAUAUCAGGAGGAACACCGAUGGCGAAGGCAGGUCUCUGGGCUGUAACUGACGCUGAGGAGCGAAAGCAUGGGGAGCGAACAGGAUUAGAUACCCUGGUAGUCCAUGCCGUAAACGUUGGGCACUAGGUGUGGGGACCAUUCCACGGUUUCCGCGCCGCAGCUAACGCAUUAAGUGCCCCGC
rnacentral:rRNA from 1 species